CUACGGGACGCAGCAGUAAGGAAUAUUGCACAAUGGGGGGAACCCUGAUGCAGCAACGCCGCGUGGAGGAUGACGCAUUUCGGUGUGUAAACUCCUUUUAUAUGUCAAGAAAAUGACGGUAGCAUAUGAAUAAGCACCGGCUAACUCCGUGCCAGCAGCCGCGGUAAUACGGAGGGUGCAAGCGUUACUCGGAAUCACUGGGCGUAAAGGACGCGUAGGCGGGUUGGAAAGUCAGGUGUGAAAUCCUACAGCUUAACUGUAGAACUGCACUUGAAACUUCUAAUCUAGAGUAUGGGAGGGGGAGAUGGAAUUAGUGGUGUAGGGGUAAAAUCCGUAGAUAUCACUAGGAAUACCUAAAGCGAAGGCGAUCUCCUGGAACAUUACUGACGCUAAGGCGUGAAAGCGUGGGGAGCAAACAGGAUUAGAUACUCGUAGUC
rnacentral:rRNA from 1 species